GGCAGGGCCAGCGGGAAAUAGAGCCUGGAGGUCCUCCUCCCUCUUUUCUGCACACCCUGGGCCUCCAGAUUCUCCACCGGCCCCAAGGCAGUUUGGAUGGAGGCUGAGGGACUCUGCCUCCCAUAUCUCAUCUAUGGUGCCAUUAGAGGAAAGUUCUGUGCGUACUUCUCAGACAUCCGGUGCCCGGAGGGGUAGCUGGCCCCAGAUGCCAGGGCACCCAAUGGGGAGCGUCUUCUCAGGACUCUUUGGAGCUCGUUCUGCUAGGGCAGGAGCAGCCCUGGAGAACAGACUGAGUCUGAAAAAAGCAGCACGCAUCCAUCACUCCUCGCCUACAAGCAGAAACUGUGAAUAUCGUUUUUUUCCCCCUACAUGCUCAAGCCUAGCUGGCUUUUUGAAAGGACCUAUAGUGAAAUGAGACUCGUUUGGAAUGUAAUUCACAGCUCAGGUGAUCAGAAUCAUAAGGACCUCUUUUUUUUUUUUUUUCUUUUUUUAGUGUUUAUUUUUGAAAGAGAGAGACAGAGUGUGAGCCGGGAGGGGCAGAGCGGAAGGGAGACCCAGAAUCCCAAGCAGGCACCAGGCUCCGAGCUGUCAGCGCAGAGCCUGACGCGGGGCUCGAACCCACGAACCCUGAGACCAUGACCUGAGCUGAAGUUGCACGCUCAUCCGACUGAGCCACCCAGGCGUCCCAGCAUCAUAAGGAUUUCUUAAAUGAGAGCUGCAUCGCUGCACGACACUCACCUGCAGUCUCCAAAUGGGCUUCAUGAGCCCCAGGCGAACGUGGGACCAGAAGGGUGGCGGAGGGCAUCUGUCACUGAGGAAAGAGCAUCGUUGUCCCUGCAGACUCCCUGGCUCUGGCUAAGGUUUGCGGCGAGAUCUGCACCCUGUGCACACGAAGUCCAUGCUCUCCCUUGAUCCUUCGGCCCAACUAGACUAUAUUACCCAGACUCCCUUGCAGCAGACUGUUGGCUACCCGCUUCCUUUUUGCCAAUCAAACAUCAGCCAAGCGAUGUGUGCCACUUUCGCGUUCCGGGCUUUAACACAUCAGGCGUGCCACUUCGGGCUGGCUGGAACCUGGUCUAGGUGGAGACUCAGCAGGCAAAGGCAAUGCCCUGGGGCUGGGUCGGCAAACUCCACCCCGAAUCCAGCCCCCGGAGGACCUGGCCACGCCCACCAUUUGAUUACUGCUCUUGCUUGGGAGUUGCGGAGUUGUAACAGAGCCCAGCAGACGCCGUCCAGGCGGAGAGUUGGAAGAGUGUGA
rnacentral:lncRNA from 1 species